rnacentral:rRNA from 1 species
UACGUAGGGUGCGAGCGUUAAUCGGAAUUACUGGGCGUAAAGCGUGCGCUGGCGGUUUUGUAAGUCAGAUGUGAAAUCCCCGGGCUUAACCUGGGAACUGCGUUUGAAACUACAAGGCUAGAGUGUGGCAGAGGGGGGUGGAAUUCCACGUGUAGCAGUGAAAUGCGUAGAGAUGUGGAGGAACACCGAUGGCGAAGGCAGCCCCCUGGGUUAACACUGACGCUCAGGCACGAAAGCGUGGGGAGCAAACAGG